rnacentral:lncRNA from 1 species
AUGCAGCAGCGGCUGGAAAGAGAUGUAUCAGUGACUUUUCCCCUUGCUGUGUUAUCAACAGUGCAGUCUUUUAAACCGUGGGGAGCUAAAUAUAAUUUAACAGAAACUGAGGCAUUGGCCUUAACAGUGCUAGGAAUUGGUGCAGCUACCAGAGAACAUGUGAGUAUAUGUAUAAGUGCUUUGGGCUUUUUCCUAAUUACUGUUUGUUUAAUGACUCUACUUCAUAACCUUUGGAGCAGGUGCCAAAAUUCCUUUACGUGAAGUUAAACACUAAAGCUGAAAAUUACUUGGUCUCUGUUUCAGCUACUCCCUACCAAGGUUGUCUCUCUUCACCUUAUCUCCUUGGUUCAUUCUUUCCACAUGCAAUGUCUGUGAACAACCUGGAAAUAUCUGAUUUAAUUUUUCACUAUUAGUAUUAAAGUAAUUGCUAAAAUUUCAUAUUUCUAACAGCAGUGAGAAAUAUGAAAGAAUGCAUCCUGUGAUAGUGAUUGGCCAUAUAUGGAGGAUAGAGAAGGAAGGUACAAAGAUGAAGUAAGUUUAUGCUGCUCUGUGGAGCACACUGCAGGUCCAAGAGACAGCCUGGAUAACAUCUGUGCAGAGCAGUGCGGGCUGGACAAUGUGGUCUGUAGAGCACUGGAGGGCUGAUGAAGCUGGUGAAUCCUGUAGCCCAAGGAUGAUUACCCAGCUCCCAUUUUCAUUUUGCUCUGUGGUUUUGGUGCUUCAGACAGUGUUUUGCUCAGUACAGCAGUGCAUGUGUAGACAUGACCCUGCAGUGGCUAUAUGAAGGAGUGAGGUUUGGAGUGGAAAGGUUCCAGGCUUCUCUAAUUGUACCAACUCUACUUGUGCUGCCGUAACUCAAAUGUAAAUAUCGAAAUUCCAGGAAAUCCUGCUGUUAGCAAGCUGCAAGUCACCCUCUCGGUGGCACCAGUGUCACUGCCAGGGGUGCAGGAGGGCUGGAGCUGGGAGCAUGGCUGGCAGGGCAGGUCUGAGGGAACAGCCAGGACUGAGAAUGCUACCAGACAAGAUUAUGGUGCCGAGACAGCUCUGAGGGCAAGGUGUGUCCCGGGGACCAGGGUCAGACAGAGCCCAGGGCCUGCCAGCCUGGCCAUGGUGAUGAAGUCAGGCCCAGGUCAAGCUCAGCCUGCGGGUUCAGGGCCCGGAUCAGUCCACGGCCCUGCACAGCUGCCAUUACCCCUGGGGUGGCUCCGGCAGGGACUGGGGCCAUGUCCUGAGCUGAGAUGGCCCCCAGGGCAGGGCUGAU